rnacentral:rRNA from 1 species
UACAGAGGUCCCAAGCGUUGUUCGGAUUCACUGGGCGUAAAGGGUGCGUAGGUGGUGAGGUAAGUCGGAUGUGAAAUCUCCGAGCUCAACUCGGAAAUUGCAUUGGAAUCUACCUUGCUUGAGGGUUGGAGGGGGGACUGGAAUGCUUGGUGUAGCAGUGAAAUGCGUAGAUAUCAAGCGGAACACCAGUGGCGAAGGCGAGUCCCUGGACAACACCUGACACUGAGGCACGAAAGCUAGGGGAGCAAACAGG